GGAGUAUUAUUGCUGUGGAGCUCUGUUAUACACUCAGACACACCAACAAUAUGGAGCUCCUAGAAAAGAGGGACAUUAGGAUAGAAAAGAGGGACAGAGGGAUUCGUGUCCCUCUUGGGAGGUAUGCUAAUUUCACAGACGGGGACACUUAGUGACGGAUUGUUUGGGGUUUUCCAGGAUGUUAGCAUGUAGGAUAAACCUUU